UUUCUAUGGAGGGUUUGAUCUUGGCUCAGAACGAACGCUGGCGGCGUGGAUUAGGCAUGCAAGUCGAGCGAGGACUUUUCCCGUAAGGGAAAAGAGCCGAGCGGCAAAAGGGUGAGUAAUGCACGGAUAACCUGCCUCUGGGAGGGGGAUAACGGCGCCCGCAAGGGCUUUACCGAAAGGGCCGCUAAUACCCCAUAACGUCACUGGUUGCAUGACUGGUGACCAAAUGUGUCCACUUCGGUGGAUUCUCGUCCAGAGAGGGGUCCGUGUCCCAUCAGCUAGUUGGUAGGGUAACGGCCUACCAAGGCGAUGACGGGUAGCCGGUCUGAGAGGAUGGUCGGCCACAUUGGGACUGAGACACUGCCCAAACUCCUACGGGAGGCUGCAGUCGAGGAUAUUUCGCAAUGCUCGCAAGGGUGACGAAGCGACGCCGCGUGGGGGAGGAAGGCCUUCGGGUUGUAAACCCCUGUCAGAAGCCAGGAAGUGCAGGGUGUGAAUAGCGCCCUGCUUGACUACAGCUUCAGAGGAAGCCAUGGCUAACUCUGUGCCAGCAGCCGCGGUAAUACAGAGAUGGCAAGCGUUGUUCGGAAUCAUUGGGCGUAAAGCGCACGCAGGCGGCCCCAUAAGUCGGGUGUGAAAUCCCCUGGCUCACCCAGGGAACUGCAUUCGAUACUGUGGGGCUUGAGGACAGGAGGGGAGAGUGGAACUUCUGGUGGAGCGGUGAAAUGCGUAGAUAUCAGAAGGAACACCGGUGGCGAAAGCGGCUCUCUGGUCUGUCCCUGACGCUGAGGUGCGAAAGCUAGGGGAGCAAACGGGAUUAGAUACCCCGGUAGUCCUAGCCGUAAACGAUGGGCACUAAGUAGGGGGCUAAAACCUCCCUGCCGAAGCUAACGCAUUAAGUGCCCCGCCUGGGGAGUACGGUCGCAAGACUAAAACUCAAAAGAAUUGACGGGGGCUCGCACAAGCGGUGGAGCAUGUGGCUUAAUUCGAUGCAACGCGAAGAACCUUACCGGGGCUUGACAUGGUGGAAGUAGGAACCCGAAAGGGGGACCAACGGUAUCCAAUCCGUAACCAUCACAGGUGCUGCAUGGCUGUCGUCAGCUCGUGCCGUGAGGCGUCGGGUUAAGUCCUCUAACGAGCGAAACCCUUAUCUCUAGUUGCCAGCGGGUCACGCCGGGAACUCUAGAGAGACUGCCGUCGUCAAGACGGAGGAAGGUGGGGAUGACGUCAAGUCAUCAUGGCCUUUAUGCCCCGGGCUGCACACGUGCUACAAUGGUCGGUACAAAGGGAUGCGAAACUGCAAAGUGAAGCGAAACCCAGAAAGCUGGCCCCAGUUCAGAUCGGAGGCUGAAACUCGCCUCCGUGAAGUCGGAAUCGCUAGUAAUCGCGGAUCAGCUACGCCGCGGUGAAUAUGUUCCCGAGCCUUGUACACACCGCCCGUCAAGCCACCCAAGCAGGGUGUACCAGAAAUCGCUGACCCAACCCGCAAGGGAGGGAGGCGCUGAAGGUACGUCUUGUGAGGAGGACUAAGUCGUAACAAGGUAGCCGUAGGAGAACCUGCGGCUGGAUCACCUCCUUUCUAAGGA
rnacentral:rRNA from 3 species